GUGCUCACUUCAGCAGCACAUCACUACAAAUGGAACGAUACAGAGAAGAUUAGCAUGGCCCCUGCACAAGGAUGACAUGCAAAUUUGUGAAAGCUUUCAUAUUUUU